rnacentral:tRNA from 1 species
UGGCAUGACAGUCAAAGUGGAUGACGCCCGUUUUGCAUGUGGGAAGUGAAAGGAUGUUUUUCUCGUGCCAG